rnacentral:lncRNA from 1 species
GACAUCCAGUUCUACAACUAACAUCAAAAAUAAAAUUUAUCUUAUACAUCUAUAGCACACUCAGUCUUAAUUGAUCGAUUACUCAGAACCCUUCUAGUAUAUCGAACAAGAAUACAUCCUCGAAUUGCAACUCAGAAUCUCCUCCAAAAAUCAAGAAUAGAUCCUUAGGCCUUCUUAAGUACUUAAGGAUGUUCUUCAUAGC